AUGCUGAUCGCCCAUGUGCUGAGAGCAGCCAUAGCUGCUGUCUGUCUUGGAAACAGUUGGACCCAGAAAGUAACUCAACCCCAGUCUAUAGUUUCUGUGGUGGAGAAGGAGGCAGCAACCUUGCGCUGUGAUUAUGAAGUUAAAGGUUUUAAUUAUUAUUUAUUCUGGUACAAACAACCACCAGGUGGGCAAAUGACUUUCCUUAUUCAUCAAAGCGCUUAUAAUGAACAAGGAGAAACAAAGGACCAGUAUUCUCUGGACUUCAAGAGAAAUGACAAUUCCAUCAACCUCACCAUCACAGCUUCACAGCUGGGGGACUCGGCAGUGUAUUUCUGUGCUCUGAGAGAUACCACAGUGAUGUGGGUGCCUUUGGGGCCCCCACAAAAACCUCAGCAUGACUAG